UGGGGAAUAUUGGGCAAUGGAGGCAACUCUGACCCAGCAAUGCCGCGUGAAUGAAGAAGGUCUUCGGAUUGUAAAGUUCUUUAAUCAGGGACGAACAAGGUGACGGUACCUGAGGAAUAAGCCACGGCAAACUAUGUGCCAGCAGCCGCGGUAAUACAUAGGUGGCAAGCGUUGUCCGGAAUGACUGGGCGUAAAGGGAGCGUAGGCGGUCUGUUAAGUUGGGAGUGAAAUCCCGGGGCUCAACCCCGGAACUGCUUUCAAGACUGACGGACUUGAGUGUAAGAGGGGUAAGCGGAAUUCCUAGUGUAGCGGUGGAAUGCGUAGAUAUUAGGAGGAACACCAGUGGCGAAGGCGGCUUACUGGAUUAUAACUGACGCUGAGGCUCGAAAGCGUGGGUAGCAAACA
rnacentral:rRNA from 1 species